UACGUAGGGGGCAAGCGUUGUCCGGAUUUAUUGGGCGUAAAGAGCGUGUAGGCGGCCAGACAGGUCCGUUGUGAAAACUCGAGGCUCAACCUCGAGACGCCGAUGGAAACCGUCUGGCUAGAGUCCGGAAGAGGAGAGUGGAAUCCCUGGUGUAGCGGUGAAAUGCGCAGAUAUCAGGAAGAACACCCGUGGCUAAGGCGGCUCUCUAGUACGGUACUGACGCUGAGACGCGAAAGCGUGGGGAGCGAACAGG
rnacentral:rRNA from 1 species